rnacentral:rRNA from 1 species
UACAGAGGGGGCAAGCGUUGUUCGGAAUUACUGGGCGUAAAGGGCGCGUAGGCGGCCUGCUAAGUCGAUCGUGAAAUCCCCGGGCUUAACCCGGGAACUGCGACCGAUACUGGUUGGCUUGAAUUCGGGAGAGGGAUGCAGAAUUCCAGGUGUAGCGGUGAAAUGCGUAGAUAUCUGGAGGAAUACCGGUGGCGAAGGCGGCAUCCUGGACCGAGAUUGACACUGAUGAGCGAAAGCUAGGGGAGCAAACAGG